GAAGAGACCAGCAUCACUGAGGUGAAAUCUUCUGGGAAGUAUUUUCUAAAAGCAGAAAGAAGCUGUGUUCUAGAAAUAGCCGGGGAUGUACCUCAUGCUGGAAGCCAGACUUGGUAAUGUAUAAGAAUCACCCAAGUGGUACUAGUUUUGAAGGCGUAAAGUGUUAUGGAGAGCAGCUUAGCUUGGCACUGUGAGAUGCCAGGGAAGGCCAUUGGUGAAAGUGCAGCUUGAGUUGCAGUUGAUGGCCCAGGCCUGAGGGAUCAUGCAAAGAAGUUAAGGUCAGGUACCUUAAAGGGAGCCUAUGAGAGGCUAUUGACGACGCCUAAUUGCAGUGAGAAAUCCCAGCGUAUUAGAGAUGCCAGCACCGCACCAUGGGAUGACCACCAGGAACAGCAGCAGCAGUGGAAUGGAGUCAACCAGAGCCUAGAGUGCUACAGAAGGCAGAGCUGGAGAAAUGACAGGUCCCUUUGGAGGAACCCCGAAAAUCGUGUGGAUCCCAGACAUUGAAACAAGAAACUAUAAACAUUGAAGUUGCUUUGGAGACCCUAAAAUAUUCCAGAGGCCAGAGUUAUGUGAUACCUGCAGUGGAAACCCUAAGACUCAGACUUCUGCAACUCUUCAACCUUCAGAAUUCUGAGAGAAGCCAGCACCAGCCAGCAGCUCAGGGGAGAGGGAGACCUAUUGCUUCCUGCUUAGCUGUGACUCUGUGAUGAGCUAUAAACUCACCUCAUACUGAAAAUGAACCAUAACAGUUCAUUUCUUACACAUCUACCACGGACCUUCACAAUAAGUAAAAGUAAAGGAAAUUUCUUCAGGUUGACUAUGGGAACUCAGUUCUGCAGUAAUAAAAAAGUACAGGGAGUGGAAAUGUGCUAGUUAAAUGUAAACAUCUUACUCGAAAACAUAUCUUCAGCAAAACAAAGUUUAUGUAUAAAGGGAUGUAUAAAAUGUA